CUACGUUUAUAUACAUACUAUAUAUAAGAGUAAGAGCUGCAGAAAUAAAUCUCAUCCAUUCCAAAUACAAACGAAAGCUGAUAAUUAAUAGUCUCUAUUUCUUGAAAAAAAUGACUUGCGGCGCCAGCUGCACAUGUGGGACUUGCCCAGAUUUGGAGAAGAGCACUACUACUGUUACAGUCAUUGAGGGAUCUGAGAAAAGCUCGGGCAGUGAAGGAGGGAACGGAUGCAGGUGCGGAUCGAGCUGCUCAUGUGAUCCGUGCAGGUGUUAAGCAAUCAAGAUGUGGUGAUUGUGUGUUAUGAAGAGUAAAGUGAUGUAGAAGAAUAAAAGAGCUACUAUUGUCUAUUAAUUAUAUUCACCUCAAGCAAUUAAUUAAGGAGAUGUUAUGUUAUGCUCUAUGCUUGUUGGUUGCACGCUCUUAUUAUAUGCGUUUUCAUGUACUAUGUUGUUACUCAAAAAGUUCUAUGGAUUGAUUAUAUAAAAUUAUUUGUUAUGUGUGUGAUA